CCAAUGGAGAGUUUGAUCCUGGCUCAGGACGAACGCUGGCGGCGUGCCUAACACAUGCAAGUCGUACGNUGGC
rnacentral:rRNA from 1 species